rnacentral:rRNA from 1 species
AUUGAACGCUGGCGGCAUGCUUUACACAUGCAAGUCGAACGGCAGCGCGGGCUUCGGCCUGGCGGCGAGUGGCGAACGGGUGAGUAAUGCAUCGGAACGUGCCCAGUAGUGGGGGAUAGCCCGGCGAAAGCCGGAUUAAUACCGCAUACGACCUGAGGGUGAAAGCGGGGGACCGAAAGGCCUCGCGCUAUUGGAGCGGCCGAUGUCGGAUUAGCUAGUUGGUGGGGUAAAGGCUUACCAAGGCGACGAUCCGUAGCUGGUCUGAGAGGACGACCAGCCACACUGGGACUGAGACACGGCCCAGACUCCUACGGGAGGCAGCAGUGGGGAAUUUUGGACAAUGGGGGCAACCCUGAUCCAGCCAUGCCGCGUGCGGGAAGCAGGCCUUCGGGUUGUAAACCGCUUUUGUUCGGGAAGAAAUCCUCUGGGCUAAUACCCCGGGGGGAUGACGGUACCGGAAGAAUAAGCACCGGCUAACUACGUG